rnacentral:rRNA from 1 species
GGGGAAUUUUCCGCAAUGGGCGAAAGCCUGACGGAGCAAUACCGCGUGAGGGAGGAAGGCUCUUGGGUUGUAAACCUCUUUUCUCAGGGAAGAAGACAAUGACGGUACCUGAGGAAUCAGCAUCGGCUAACUCCGUGCCAGCAGCCGCGGUAAUACGGAGGAUGCAAGCGUUAUCCGGAAUGAUUGGGCGUAAAGCGUCCGCAGGUGGCAGUGCAAGUCUGCUGUCAAAGACUGGGGCUCAACCCUGGAAAGGCAGUGGAAACUGCACAGCUGGAGUGCGGUAGGGGCAGAGGGAAUUCCCAGUGUAGCGGUGAAAUGCGUAGAGAUUGGGAAGAACACCGGUGGCGAAAGCGCUCUGCUAGGCCGUAACUGACACUGAGGGACGAAAGCUAGGGUAGCGAAUGGGAUUAGAUACCCCUGUAGUC